GCCGUAUGGCCCCUACUGCCAAAGCCUUGUCUCGAGGCUCUACGGUGCUGUCUCCAGCUGGGCCCCUGCCAAGGAUUUUCUUGGCUGUCUCUGCUCCUGGAGAGGAACAGCCUGUCCCAUGAAGCUCUGUUCUCCAGGGAGCCCGGCAAGGCAGCCACCUUCCUGUCCUCGUCUCUUAGGGGAUCCCAGGGGUAGUGAGCCUGAGCCUACCCCUCACCCCCGAGCACAGGCGUUCAAGCCAGUCCAGGGGCUGAUGGGAGGCCUCACUCAGUGCAAGCGGAAGAACCACUGGACACAGCCUGGGUUUGCUCUCCCUCAAUCAUUCUCGGAUCGAACUUGGGACCUUUUGCUUGCAAGGCAGGUGGUGGAACCACUGAGCUAAAUCCCCAGCCUGAAGCCAUAAAUUCCUAAUGCAUAGCAUAGGAAAGCCGCGCAAGUGGGGUGUCUUCAAUCGCGUGUCUUCCUGAGGAGGAGUUCACCCGAGGUGCCGGGGAGAAGAUGCGAGCGGAGGCCAAGAGGAGUCGUAUUUGAAUGCCAUGUCUUUCCUGAUUUGUGUUGUUAAUCCUCUUCCCCGCUCUUGGGAGGCAAUCAGGCUGUGAGGACAAAGUCACCAUGAAUGCGGUCAGUGCCAUCAGAGCGGUUAUCCUAGGGGAUAUAUUUUGGGCUUCAAAGACUUCUCUUGAACCCUAAAAAUGGUCCAGGUAGCUGAGCCCCUUCUGGAUUCUGGCUCAGCGGGCAAUGGAUGCAGAGUAAAAUCUCACCACUUUGGCUAAACAAGGAAGGCAACGGUGAAGUACAGCACAUUUCAAGCACCUUGCUCGAAUGCCAUGCAAUGCCCAUUUUGGGGAAUACUGAACUACAGUAGACUCAGAGUCUGCCAGAGUAAGCAGAGAUCUCGAGGAACCCCAUCUGAGAUGGUGGCUCUUGUCUGUGGCUUCUGACUCACCAGGUCCCUCCGAGUAUUCCCAGCUACAGGAGGCAAGUCCUGAAGUCUACAUGCGUCGCAGCCACAUGGGGUCCUUGCAGCUAUCCGUGGUGUUGGGUAUUUAAAGCCAGCGACAAGGAAAGUGACUAAGACAGAUGACAAACUUGAGGCCAGCCUAGGCUACUUAGUGACACCAUGUCCAAACAAACAAACAAACAAACACCAACAAGGUCAUUGCUGCAUCUAAUCGUGCUGCACAUGGACUGAAGCCUCUGAACCGUGAGCCGAAAUAAACCUCUCCUCUCUCAAGUUGUGGGUGGCAGAUUCUUUGCUCCGCCAAGAGGAAAAGUGACUGACAGUGCACCUCUGACUUCUGUGUCUAUCAGUUAGCAGAUACAAGUCUGUUUCUCUAAAUCGGUUACUGAGGGCUUCAGAAAUCCCAGGGAAGGCACCAGUCACUCGGUUCGUUUCAGCAGUAUUUAUUUGUGACGUCCUGCUCAGUGCAGCAGUCAUCUUUUCUGCCAUCCACAUGAUCUUUAUGUGCCAUGGCCACCUGGCAGGCUCCGUUCAGGACCUAGUGAGCCUUAUAGGUGGGAUGAUUUCCAGGUUUAUGAAUGACUUUUCCAUUAUUAUGGAAUUAAUCCUUUUG
ensembl:lncRNA